rnacentral:rRNA from 2 species
UUUUAUGAGAGUUUGAUCCUGGCUCAGGACGAACGCUGGCGGCGUGCCUAAUACAUGCAAGUCGAACGCUUCUUUUUCCACCGGAGCUUGCUCCACCGGAAAAAGAGGAGUGGCGAACGGGUGAGUAACACGUGGGUAACCUGCCCAUCAGAAGGGGAUAACACUUGGAAACAGGUGCUAAUACCGUAUAACAAUCGAAACCGCAUGGUUUUGAUUUGAAAGGCGCUUUCGGGUGUCGCUGAUGGAUGGACCCGCGGUGCAUUAGCUAGUUGGUGAGGUAACGGCUCACCAAGGCCACGAUGCAUAGCCGACCUG